AGAAUAUUUACUGUGAGCUGAGCAAGAAGACCCGUAAAAUUACCAGGCUGGGGCCCUACACCCUGGACAAGAAGAGCCUUUACAUCAAUGGUUACAAUGAUCGAAUAGCCCUCUCCUCCACCACAGGCUAUGAGUAUUCUUAUCCUGGGGGCAAACAGAGAACACCACUUGUCCGUCCCAACCCUGUUCUCAUAGCAUCCUGGGAAAGAGAGGAUGGACCACGGAUGUAAAAGAGAGAGGAAGGCACCACGUCGCCCUCAUUCUCGUAAUUCAGUCUCCACCAGUUGACUCAGUGGCCAAGCCAAAUGGAGUGCAUUUUCCCUGUCUCUUACAGUCCAUACCCCUCCUUGUCACAUGGACAAUUGGUCCACAGUUUUCAUUCAUGAUAUUUCCCUUCAGGUUCAAUAUUCAGAACCAGCACUCCAGCUCCAUCCACAGCCAGGGUCUUCAGCCUUGAUACUUUUACCAUAAAUUUCACUGUCACCAAUCUGAAAUAUGCAACAGGAAUGAGCCACUUUGGCUCCAGCAAAUUCAGUUCUGUGGAGAGUGCCCUGGAGUGCCUGGUGAGACAUGACCCCCUUCCGUCCCCUCUGCCAAGCUGCUUUCC
rnacentral:lncRNA from 1 species